rnacentral:snoRNA from 1 species
CUUGUUCAUUCUGACAAAAGAAUGAAGUGUGAUAAUGAGUGGGGAAGCUGAUGAACUCACAAGUGUAGGCAGUGUGCGACACGAGUGGCAAGUUUUUCGCUAACACCACAAGGGUCUCUGGCCCAAUAAGUGGGGUUGGAUAGUAAUACUUGCUACAAAA